rnacentral:rRNA from 1 species
GCAUAUCAAUAAGCGGAAGGAAAAGAAACCAACCAGGGAUUGCCUCAGUAACGGCGAGUGAAGCGAGCAACAGCUCAAAUUUGAAAUCUGGCCUCCUGGUCCGAGUUGUAAUUUGCAGAGGAUGCUUCGGGCGCGGUGCCUUUCCAAGUCCCCUGGAACGGGGCGCCGGAGAGGGUGAGAGCCCCGUACGGUUGGCGGCCAAGCCUGUGUGAAGCUCCUUCGACGAGUCGAGUAGUUUGGGAAUGCUGCUCUAAGCGGGAGGUAGACCCCUUCUAAAGCUAAAUAUUGGCCAGAGACCGAUAGCGCACAAGUAGAGUGAUCGAAAGAUGAAAAGCACUUUGAAAAGAGGGUUAAACAGCACGUGAAAUUGUUGAAAGGGAAGCGCUUGAGACCAGACGUGCGCCGGGGUGCUCAGCGGGCGUUCUCGCCCGUGCACUCGCCCCGGCGCAGGCCAGCGUCGGUUUGGGCGGGGGGAUAAAGGCGUCUGGAAUGUGGCUCCCCCGGGAGUGUUAUAGCCAGGCGUGCCAUGCCUCCGCCCGGACCGAGGUACGCGUUCUGCAAGGACGCUGGCGUAAUGGUCCCCAGCGACCCGUCUUGAAACACGGACCAAGGAGUCGAGGUUUUGCGCGAGUGUUUGGGUGAAAAACCCGCACGCGUAAUGAAAGUGAACGUAGGUGAGAGCUUCGGCGCAUCACCGACCGAUCCUGAUGUUUUCGGAUGGAUUUGAGUAAGAGCGUAGGGCCUCGGACCCGAAAGAUGGUGAACUAUGCUUGGAUAGGGUGAAGCCAGAGGAAACUCUGGUGGGAGGCUCGCAGCGGUUCUGACGUGCAAAUCGAUCGUCAAAUCUGAGCAUGGGGGGCGAAAGACUAAUCGAAACCAUCUAGUAGCUGGGUUACCGCCGGAAGU